GUGCUUGCUUCAGCAGCAUAUGUACUAAAAUUGGAAUGAUACAGAGAAGAUUAGAAU
rnacentral:snRNA from 1 species